ensembl:lncRNA
GGAGAGAGAGAGAGGUUGAGAGAGAGAGAGGUUGAGAGAGAGAGAGAUGGGGAGAGAGAGGUUGAGAGAAAGAUGGGGUUGAGAGAGAGAGGUUGAGAGAGAGAGAUUGAGAGAGAGAGAGAGAGAUUGAGAGAGAGAGGGAGAGAGAGGUUGAGAGAGAGGUUGAGAGAGAGAGGUUGAGAGAGAGAGAGGUUGAGAGAGAGAGAAAGAGGUUGAGAGAGAGAAAUUGAGAGAGAGGUUGAGAGAGAGGUUGAGAGAGAGAGAGCGAUUGAGAG